rnacentral:rRNA from 1 species
GAUCUUGGUCAGGAUGAACGCUAGCGACAGGCUAACACAUGCAAGGUCGAGGGGCAGCAUAAAAGUAGCAAUACUUGGUGGCGACCGGCGCACGGGUGAGUAACGCGUAUGCAACCUACCUAUCAGGAGGGGAAUAACCCGGCGAAAGUCGGACUAAUACCGCAUAAAACAGGGGCACCGCAUGGUGAUAUUUGUUAAAGAAAUUCGCUGAUAGAUGGGCAUGCGUUCCAUUAGGUAGUUGGUGAGGUAACGGCUCACCAAGCCGACGAUGGAUAGGGGAACUGAGAGGUUGGUCCCCCACACUGGUACUGAGACACGGACCAAACUCCUACGGGAGGCAGCAGUGAGGAAUAUUGGUCAAUGGGCGGGAGCCUGAACCAGCCAAGUCGCGUGAAGGAAAGAAGGAUCUAUGGUUCGUAAACUUCUUUUGCAGGGGAAUAAAGUGCAGGACGUGUCCUGUUUUGUAUGUACCCUGAGAAUAAGGAUCGGCUAACUCCGUGCCAGCAGCAGC